ACGCUCGACACCUACGGGAGGCAGCAGUCGGGAAUAUUGCGCAAUGGAGGAAACUCUGACGCAGUGACGCCGCGUAUGGGAAGAAGGUUUUCGGAUUGUAAACCAUUUUAGACAAGGAAGAAACAAGACAGUACUUGUAGAAUAAGCUCCGGCUAACUACGUGCCAGAAGCCGCGGUAAUCUGAGCGGGCUGGCAAGGC
rnacentral:rRNA from 1 species